rnacentral:rRNA from 1 species
GGACUACUGGGGUUUCUAAUCCUGUUUGCUCCCCUAGCUUUCGCGCUUCAGCGUCUGGUCUGGCACAGAAAACCGUCUUCACCACUGGUGUUCUUCCACAUAUCUACGCAUUUCACCGCUACACGUGGAAUUCCGUUUUCCCUUACCAUCCUCUAAGCUCGGAAGUUUCAAAUGCAGCUCUGGGGUUGAGCCCCAGAAUUUCACAUCUGACUUUCCAAGCCGCCUACGCGCCCUUUACGCCCAGUAAUUCCGAUCAAUGCUUGCACCCUCCGUAUUACCGCGGCUGCUGGCAC